GUUCCGUUAGCUCAGUUGGUUUAGAGCACCACCUUGACAGGGUGGGGGUCAUUGGUUCGAAUCCCAUAUAGAAAA
rnacentral:tRNA from 1 species